AGAAAUCACAAGCUUUUGGUUGGUGCUAAAGCAGAAAUCACAAGCUUUUAGUUGGUGCUAAAGCAGAAAUCACAAGCUUUUGGUUGGUGCUAAAGCAGAAAUCACAAGCUUUAGAUUGGUGCUAAAGCAGAAAUCACAAGCUGUUGGUUGGUGCUAAAGCAGAAAUCACAAGCUUUUAGUUGGUGCUAAAGCAGAAAUCACAAGCUUUAGGUUGGUGCUAAAGCAGAAAUCACAAGCUUUUGAUUGGUGCUAAAGCAGAAAUCACAAGCUUUAGGUUGGUGCUAAAGCAGAAAUCACAAGCUUUUGGUUGGUGCUAAAGCAGAAAUCACAAGCUUUUGGUUGGUGCUAAAGCAGAAAUCACAAGCUGUUGGUUGGUGCUAAAGCAGAAAUCACAAGCUGUUGGU